AACCUGCGGAAGGAUCAUUCAUAAUAAGUGUUUUAUGGCACUUUUUAAAUCCAUAUCCACCUUGUGUGCAAUGUCGGUCGAUCUUCUUCAUGGAGAUCGACCAAACAUCAACCUUUAUCUUUUAACUCUUUGUCUGAAAAAUAUUAUGAAUAAACAAUUCAAAAUACAACUUUCAACAACGGAUCUCUUGGCUCUCGCAUCGAUGAAGAACGCAGCGAAAUGCGAUACGUAAUGUGAAUUGCAGAAUUCAGUGAAUCAUCGAAUCUUUGAACGCAUAUUGCGCUCUUUGGUAUUCCGAAGAGCAUGCUUGUUUGAGUAUCAGUAAACACCUCAAAGCUUUUGGAUUUUUUAAUCGAAAAGCUUUGGACUUGAGCAAUCCCAACACCAAUCUUUUUGAGAUCGGUGGCGGGUUGCUUGAAAUGCAGGUGCAGCUGGACAUUCUCCUGAGCUAAAAGCAUAUUCAUUUAGUCCCGUCAAACGGAUUAUUACUUUUGCUGCAGCUAACAUAAAGGGAGUUUGACCGUAUUGGCUGACUGAUGCAGGAUUUCACAAGGGUCGGCAACGAUUCUUGUUAAACUCGAUCUCAAAUCAAGUAAGACUACCCGCUGAACUUAAGCAUAUCAAUA
rnacentral:rRNA from 1 species